ACGCCGCGGAAUAUCGUAAUUUAAACACUCUGGAACUAAAUGCAUUACAGUAACCUAAUGUUGAAACAUAGGAGCCGACUACCGGAGCCGCUGAUCAUACGAUUCGGAGACCUAGUCUAAAUGAAUCAUGGAAUUGGCCAGGUGAUGGCGAGAAGUAUAAGAGUAUAGUCAAGUUUGAAGAUCCUUGGAAACCUCCACUGCUUUGGUCGGGCUGGUAGGAGGCUCCUUGGCACAGGCGCUCCUCUCUCUCUCUGCCCUUACACUCAAUUAACAUUCCACACCUACAUUACACACAUUCACCCAUUAAUACAGACUGUUCCCUAAAACUUAUUUAUUGUCAAUUUGUAUAUAUAUAUGAUCGGAACUGUACAUAUUGUAUUGUUGUAUAUGAAUGGCCAUUUGUAUUUUGUUAAAUAAUUCUGGUAAUGGUUCACAAUUAUAUGGUGUCACCAAACUUAAA